rnacentral:tRNA from 1 species
GACAACGUGCCAGAGUGGUUAAUGGGUAUGACUCGAACGAGCUCAUCAACUAGAUAUCAUAUGGCUUCGGCCGCGCAGGUUCGAAUCCUGCCGUUGUCG